UCUGGAAGCUCCAAUACCAGCCAUGCAGACCUGAGAAAACACAAUCCUACAUAAAAAUGGACAUAUCUGACUUAGGACAGCUGACUAAGUCUGGUUGCUCCCCUCCAGAUAAC